AGAGGUUUUGGACCUGGCUCAGGACGAACGCUGGCGGCGUGCUUAACACAUGCAAGUCGAACGGAAAGGCCCUGCUUUUGUGGGGUGCUCGAGUGGCGAACGGGUGAGUAACACGUGAGUAACCUGCCCUUGACUUUGGGAUAACUUCAGGAAACUGGGGCUAAUACCGGAUAGGAGCUCCUGCUGCAUGGUGGGGGUUGGAAAGUUUCGGCGGUUGGGGAUGGACUCGCGGCUUAUCAGCUUGUUGGUGGGGUAGUGGCUUACCAAGGCUUUGACGGGUAGCCGGCCUGAGAGGGUGACCGGCCACAUUGGGACUGAGAUACGGCCCAGACUCCUACGGGAGGCAGCAGUGGGGAAUAUUGCACAAUGGGCGGAAGCCUGAUGCAGCAACGCCGCGUGCGGGAUGACGGCCUUCGGGUUGUAAACCGCUUUCGCCUGUGACGAAGCGUGAGUGACGGUAAUGGGUAAAGAAGCACCGGCUA
rnacentral:rRNA from 1 species